AUUGAACGCUGGCGGCAGGCUUAACACAUGCAAGUCGAGCGGGGUGAUGGUGCUUGCACUAUCACUUAGCGGCGGACGGGUGAGUAAUGCUUAGGAAUCUGCCUAUUAGUGGGGGACAACAUCUCGAAAGGGAUGCUAAUACCGCAUACGUCCUACGGGAGAAAGCAGGGGAUCACUUGUGACCUUGCGCUAAUAGAUGAGCCUAAGUCGGAUUAGCUAGUUGGUGGGGUAAAGGCCUACCAAGGCGACGAUCUGUAGCGGGUCUGAGAGGAUGAUCCGCCACACUGGGACUGAGACACGGCCCAGACUCCUACGGGAGGCAGCAGUGGGGAAUAUUGGACAAUGGGGGGAACCCUGAUCCAGCCAUGCCGCGUGUGUGAAGAAGGCCUUAUGGUUGUAAAGCACUUUAAGCGAGGAGGAGGCUCUUUUGGUUAAUACCCAAGAUGAGUGGACGUUACUCGCAGAAUAAGCACCGGCUAACUCUGUGCCAGCAGCCGCAGUAACAC
rnacentral:rRNA from 1 species